rnacentral:rRNA from 1 species
GACGAACCGUGCGAACGUUAUUCGGAAUCACUGGGCUUAAAGGGCGCGUAGGCGGUCUGCCAAGUCAGGGGUGAAAUCCUUCGGCUUAACCGGAGAAGUGCCUUUGAUACUGGCGGACUUGAGGGAGGUAGGGGCAGAUGGAACUGGUGGUGGAGCGGUGAAAUGUGUAGAUAUCGGAAGGAACACCAGUGGCGAAAGCGGCUUCCUGGUCCAGCACCGACGUUCAGGCACGAAAGCGUGGGGAGCAAACAGG